AACUUUUCCAGCCGGGAAGUCACAGCUUGGUGGCUUAACACUGUCUGCCUUAAGAUUGUCAGCUACCUGGGGUCGAAGUCGAUGUCAAACUCAUCUGUUUCCCAAGGCUCCUGACACGUGGGAUUUGCUAUUAAGUCAUCUACCAAGUGAUAAGGACGCUCAAGCAGCUCCUGGAAAAGCCCCGGUGGGAAGAAACUGAGACCUCCCAGGAAAUGCCAGCACCAACUCACCAGCCUUGUGACCGCACCUCUUUGGAACCAGAGCUUGCAGCUCCAGUCAGUUGUGAUGACCGCAGCCCCAGUGACAUCUCAACUGAAGCCUCAUGUGACCUCCUGAACCAGACCCACCUAGCUCAGUUCCUGAGUUCACGACCCACA